rnacentral:rRNA from 1 species
GAUGAACGCUGGCGGCGUGCUCAACACAUGCAAGUCGAACGAUGAAGCCCAGCUUGCUGGGUGGAUUAGUGGCGAACGGGUGAGUAACACGUGAGCAACCUGCCCCUGACUCUGGGAUAAGCGCUGGAAACGGCGUCUAAUACUGGAUAUGUCCCGUCACCGCAUGGUGUGCGGGUGGAAAGAUUUUUCGGUUGGGGAUGGGCUCGCGGCCUAUCAGCUUGUUGGUGAGGUAAUGGCUCACCAAGGCGUCGACGGGUAGCCGGCCUGAGAGGGUGACCGGCCACACUGGGACUGAGACACGGCCCAGACUCCUACGGGAGGCAGCAGUGGGGAAUAUUGCACAAUGGGCGGAAGCCUGAUGCAGCAACGCCGCGUGAGGGAUGACGGCCUUCGGGUUGUAAACCUCUUUUAGCAGGGAAGAAGCGAAAGUGACGGUACCUGCAGAAAAAGCACCGGCUAACUACGUG